rnacentral:rRNA from 1 species
GAUGAACGCUAGCGGCAGGCCUAAUACAUGCAAGUCGAACGGCCCCGACACUUCGGUGUCGGGGUAGUGGCGCACGGGUGCGUAAUGCGUACACAACAUACCCUUUACAGGGGGAUAGCGGCGGGAAACUGCCAGUAAUACCCCAUGUCCUUGCGAGGUGGCAUCAUUUGCAAAGAAAGUUCAAGCGGUAAAGGAUUGGUGUGCGUCCGAUUAGCUAGUUGGCGGGUAACGCCCACAAGGCGACGAUCGGUAGGGGUGUGAGAGCAUCGGCCCCCCAGACGGGUACUGAGACACGGACCCGACUCCUACGGGAGCAGCAGUAA